GAAGCCCGCCAGACUGCCGCUGGUGCAAUUCUGGAAACAGAGCACUGGAGGAACGUCCGGACUGCAUAGGGCAGCGUAGCAGCUAACGGCUGUCCACUGAAAGCCCGGGCCGCAAGGCCAGGGUAUAAGGUGAGGAUCAGAGCAACAGAGACGAGCCGAUUGAGUUCGGGUGAAACGGGCAAUCUCUACGCGCAGCAAUACCAAAUAGGCACACGUUGAUGGGGCCCCCGGAGUGUGCGGGUAGGUAGCACCGAGCUACUGAGUGAUCAGUAGCCCAGAUUAAUGGCAGUCACGCUAGAGGCAACUUUGGCGCACAGAAUCCGGCUUAUCGGUGGGCUUCACAA
rfam:Burkholderiales bacterium RIFOXYD12_FTLL_59_19 rifoxyd3_full_scaffold_452, whole genome shotgun sequence.